rnacentral:rRNA from 1 species
UACAGAGGGUGCGAGCGUUAAUCGGAAUUACUGGGCGUAAAGCGUGCGUAGACGGUUAUUUAAGUCGGGUGUGAAAGCCCCGGGCUCAACCUGGGAAUUGCAUUCGAGACUGAAUAGCUAGGGUACGGUAGAGGGAAGCGGAAUUUCCGGUGUAGCGGUGAAAUGCGUAGAUAUCGGAAGGAACAUCAGUGGCGAAAGCGGACUUCCUGGACC